CCAACAUCAGCCAAACGUAAAAGCAUCGGCAGCUUCAUCAGCUUUGCUCGGCAAAUAGAAGCGGAGUUCUCCUUUUUUUUCUGUAGCGCAAAAACUAACAGAAAACAUGUCAAAGAGGGUCGGAUCACCGGUAAAGCCUGUUGAUGAACAGCCUGAAAAAAAAA